ACAAAAGUCUGUUCUUGCUCGCUGAGGAAGCCGGAGUCCCUAACACACUCCAGCCCACAGGAUGCAGAGAGGCUGUGAGCUCAAGGGUGGAAAUUAUAGCUCAUGCAUCAACAAAUUCUCUACACUAGACGGGACCUGCAGUAAAUGUUUGCUGAAUGACUGAAUGAAGGAUGAGGCCAUGUUCAUCAGCACAAGAAACCUUUCACCUGGACCUGCUCUAGAGCCUUCCCACGCUGACUGAUCCUGCUGGGACGCAGGCCAGCGGCCCUCCAUCCGGAAACUCGGAACUUGCUUACCUGCUCACGCUGGAAUGGUAUUAUAUUAAGGCACCUGGAACUAUAGUAGAUAUUUAUUAACCCCACCACAUGGAGGGGACUCCAAGAGUCUGUCGUGAAGGUACUUUCCCCUGGUCCAUGGUGUUUAGCUUUUCUAGUCUCCUCGCAGCCAGGAGUGGCCCUGUGACCCUGUGACCCUGCGCUGGCCCCUGAGACAAACGUGGAAUUCCUUUGGCAGCUGCAGCUGGGGCCUUGCCUGUGCUUCCUGUUCCGGGAGGCAAGCACCGGGAUGAAACCAUGUGCUAAAGGUGGGAGGGGGUGGAGGACGGGGGAAACAUAGACAGAACCAUCAUGAGAACCAUCAUGAACACACUUGUUCUAGAAUCUAGAUGGACCCAGACAUUUUCACUCAAAAGGAAAUCCAGCAGGUCCCUUCAGUUCUGUGGGGAAGCAAUGAGGUAGCCAAGUUUGGGUGUGGGAUCUGGCCACAGACACAUCCCAGUUCAAGUCCUCACCAGGGGUGUGCCGGGAGUCAGUCGUCUGGGCCUCCCUUCCUCCCCUGCGGAAUGGGACUAAGGCACUCACUCACCUUGCAGGGCGGUGUGAGCGCGAAUGAGAGAACGCACUUUAAAUGCUUGGUCUCCUAUCUAGCACACAGCAAGCACUAAAACAAACAUUUUCGACUACAAAUGCAGACCACCCCCCUCUGCCCCCACGCCCCUCCCCAGCAAAACUGUCUUGAAGCCAACUUUUCAAACUAACAGCCCUUUCCAGACCGGGCUUGGAAAGUUGCACCCGUUUCCUAAGCUGCUGAGCAGUCUUUCUUCAAACCCUGGCUGCCUCUCCCCUGCCAUUUCUGUAACCACAGGCCGCAAGAGGAAGCCUAAAAUACUCUACAAAGACAGCCCCCAAUGUCCCAGUUGAUGUAACAACUGUAGUACCCAAAUGAAAAUUAUCUCAGGUUAAGGAGUUUUUUGUUUUUUUAUUAAUGUUUGGAGAGAGAGGAAGGGAGAGGGGGGAGGGGGGAGAGUGGAAUAUCGACUGGCUCUCCCACAUGUCCCGCACUGGUGUUUGAGCCUGUAACCUGGGCACGUGCUCUGACCGGGAAUUGAACCAGCAACCCUCAGUGCACGGGAGGACACCCAAGAACCAAGCCACACCAGCCAGGGCAGGUGAAGGAGGGUUUUAAAAGCCUAUCCAGAUAAGAGAGAGCAAGGCUGUGAAGCAGAGGCUUGAAGUGGCUGGCCGAGGUGUAUGUGACAUUCUUUUUUCCUCCCCCAACCUGUGUGUGAAAGAUUCUCUCUCUCUCUCUCUCUCUCUCUCUCUCUCUCUCUCUCUCUCUCUCUCGCACUGGCUCUGUGAUCAAGUCAAAAACCUACAAGUAGGCCUGCGGGCUGGACACCAGGGAACAGGCACAGCUCAGGCCCAAAGGUCGCCUGGCAGAAUUCCCUCUUUCGGGGAGGCCAGUCUUUCUUCUAUUAAGGCUUUCAACGGACCGGCUGUGGCCCACCACUACAGAGGGUAAUCUGCUUUCCUCAGCACUAAUCUCAUCUAAAAACUACCUUCACAGAAACAUCUAGAAUAAAGUUUGACCAAAUAUCUGGGUCCCAUCGCCCAGCUAAGUUGCACAUAAAGCUAACCACCCCAGGGGUUUACAGUAACCAAUGCAAACAAGUUCCACUCCAACAGGGGACAACUCCGUCUGUCCUUCAGUUCUCCACUGUCAGCCUCCUGCGGUCUGGCUGGCCCCCUGCCCCUCUUCCCCCCUCCCUUCCUCCCUGCUCUACCUGCCCCACCAGGAGCGAAGCCCAUUCUGUCCUUGGGGCCUGCACAGCAGUUUGGCUCUCCAUCAACUGCCAGGUUCCCACAGUCCAUCAAGGCAUCAGUCCCUGGGAGGCUUUGUCACCUGCCUGGGGACACAGCUAGGAAGGGUGGAGCUGGCAUUUACACCCAGAUGUUCUGACACAGAAGUCUGGGUUCUGACCCUACUCAGACUGCUUACAUCUGAAAUGUGCUACACAGGAUCAUGUUAGAUGGUCUCACGGGUACAUUUAAAGACAUUUCUAGACUUAAAUAUUCAAUUUAAUGUGGACUAGGAAAAGAGCAUGAACUAACUCAUCAAAGUAAUGAUUUCAUGGGUAUAAUUACACAGGAAGAGGCCGAAUUUAAAAAGGUGAGCCAACAAAAGGAAAACACCAUGAAAAUAAAACUGAAGGCAGCCUGGGGCAGAUAUUAUUGCCAUCAGGUGGUGCCCGAAGGAGGAGCCUGGAGAGCCUAGCCUGGAUCCACAGCCCUGGGCGAGGAGGUAAGGAGUUAACUGGUCCUGAAUCCUCCUGCUGCUCAUGGGUGAUGGCCCCAUAGACGACACUGAGGGAUUUUGUUUUUUUCCCCCUAAAAUCAAAAGAGCGGAAAUCCGGGACUCUACUCUUAUUUCUUUGAGCUCAGUGAGGGAACAAAACCUAUUCAUCAGCUCCAUCCACAGGGGCAGUCAAAGGCUCCAAUUCCCAAGGGAGAAUCGGCUCUCCCCACACCCUGAAACCUGACCUGUGAAUGUGGCUGCCACCCAGCCAGUGACUGCUCUUUCUCAGUGACGCCGAGACCGACACAGGCUGCACGAGAGUCAGGGCCCCGGGUUGGCACCCUGGCUCUGCCACUAACCCAGACUGUGCCCCAGCAAUGAUGAUCCACCAAUGAAAACCACACUGGCUAACAAUUAUGGACACGUAUAGUCUGGCAGGCACCGUGCCAAAUGCUUCACAACAUUACAACACAACAACCCCGACUAACAGGUGCUAUUAUUAUCCUUAUUUUAUAGGCAGGAAACUGAAGCACAGAGAGGUGCUUAACUUAACUCAAGAGCCCUUUCUCGACAUCAUUCCCUGUGACCCUGAAGACAGACUUUGGCUCCAGCACUUGGAGAUCAAGGAGUCAGAGCUUCCUGGCAGCUGUGGGAAGGGGUAGAGAUUCUGACUCAGGGGGCCCACGGCUGGAGUGACCUCAAGCAUCCCUGAUGUGGGCGCCCCAGGCCCCCACUUUGAAGACACUGUUUUCCAACGUUCUGUCUCUGGCCAGCUGGUCUGACCCAGAGGCCUGCAAACUAGGAGCCCAUGUGCCAAAUGCAGUGUUUUUGUAGGGCCAAUCAGAGUAAGAAUGGUCUUUACACCUUUAAAUAGUUGGGAAAAAUCCAAAGAAUAAUAUUUCAUGAUGUGAAAAUUACAUGAAAUUCAAAUUUCAGUGUCCAUAACUAAGGUUUGUUUGGACACAGUCACGUUCAUUCAUGGACAGAUGCAGCUGCCUCUGCUUCUGUAAAAUAACGGCAGAGUUGGGUAGUUGCAACAGAGGCCAAAUGGCCCACAAAACCAGAAGUAUUACUACUGAUCCUUUACAGAAAAGUCUGCAGAGACUGGCCUAGUCCACCCCCCAGCCAAUGCGGGACUCAUCUUUACAGUCCCUUCCCUCUGGCCUCUGCUUUCACACCUCCAGUGGUGGGGAGCUCACUACCAAGCCAGGCAGCCAGUUCCAUCUCUGAAAGGUGGUAGGGACAGCUAUCUGUGCUGGCACUGGACUCUCUCUGAGCCUUGUGGAAUCAGCCCUGUCAUUCCUCCACAAUGGCCAUCAGUUCCUCUCUUCCCUCUGGUAUCAAUCCUUCCCUGUCCUCACCUGUCCCCUCAGUUGUUCCCCACCGAUCCCCUGGGGAACAGGGAGAACAGCAGGUGGCUCUGCUACUUGACAGACAAGGGUGCGGGAGAUGCAGAGGGAGCGUGGCAGGACAGAGCUGGAGCUGGACCCAGGGUUCCUGCCUCCCAGCCUGGUGGCCCCUCGACAACGUUGCUUGAGCGUCCAGUUUGGUUUUCAGCUCAUCACUCCCAAAAUGGCAUCCCAGAGGGCCCGAGGUAUGCUCUCCCUAGUGGACACCUGUGGUCUCUUGUCCACGAUUCCUUCUUGUGGCUCGGCUUUUGUGGCUCCAAGAGCAGCUCUCCCAUCCACCCCAGGGUUCAGCCUUAGGCUCUGAGAUCUCCCAUCACAUCCAGCUACCCGUCCCCCUACCCUGACGACUGGGGGCUGGUCCCCAGGGUGCCCACAUUUACAGUCGCUGCUGGUGUGCCGCUUGCUUUCAUGAGUCCGCUGGGUCUCUGGCUCAAAGACCAGCGGUGAGGUGACAGCCAGAAAUUGAAAAUGGAUUGGUGGGUUGCCCUCUGACGUCUGUCUCUAAGAUGUGGCCAGUGAGAUGGGUCCUCAGAGAAUACCUGGGAAAGGUUUUGAAAUCCUUGGAAGAAGGCGGCUGUGUCAACACUGCCUAGUCCUAGUUCUCCCAGAUCCUUCCAGCCACAGCCUGCGCUCCUGGGGAGUCUGCUACUCUCAGGUGAGGGAGAGUGACCUGGAAACCGGCCAGAACCUUGUGUGAGUCACAGCCGGGAAAGCUAGUCUGUAGGUAGAACAGUAACUGUGGAUCUUGAAGGGUGGGACUGAUGUAAAUUUCAACUAAGCAGUGGUCAGCCAGAGACAGCGUGAUGAGGAUGCAAGAGAGGAGCCUGGCUCUGUGUCCGGACUCCCACCUGAUGAGCUGUGAGGCCUCGGGCAGUGAUACCUUCCCUUAGACUUUUGGUGAAAAGGGGAAAGAUAGGCAUCUCUUAUAGGGCCACAGUGAAGAGUUAUACUGAGGAGACUAGCAUGGCACCUGGCACGUGGUAUUUGCUCACAAACUGUUACCUUCCUUUUCCCCUAACAUAAUGGGACAGUGCCCUGCUGGUGUGAUGAUGAUGGAAAUAAUACAAAUGAUGAUGGUGACAGCAAGAGCUACGGUUUCACGCCCCCCGGCAAGGUGCCAGGCUCUCUCCAGGGAUAUCUCACUUCGUUCUCACACCCACCCUGAGAGGUAGAUGCUGGUAUGACCACCAUUCCACCGCCGAGGAAGCGGAAGCUCAAGCGCAAAGGCAGACAGCGAGGGAGCCUGAGCGCUGGGUGCUUUUGAGAGAGCACAAAAGCAAUGGCUGGACCUGAAGGGGUCAGAGAAGACCUCAGGGUGAGGUGACGAUGCCUGGGGUCGGAAGGGUGCACAGAGGGGCAGGGUGAGGGAGCAGCACCGGAGCUCUGUGAGUGGUACCCCUGAUGAACACCAUUAGAACCACUGUGCCUGGGGACGCCAAUUCUACGGGGCUCUACUCUCAACAGGGACGGAGUUGGCAGCCUUGAGAUUAUUUCACUCCUGCAGUUUACAGAAAUACAAGCAGCUAAAACUAGGGCACCAAUAAUCACAGAUAUCGGUGGUACUUCUGCUUCUUUAUCUAAAAGAAAAAAUAUGGAAUACUGAGAGCAUUAACUCAAUGGCUGAUAUUCUUCAUUUAAUUUUACUUUUAUAGCUUCUUCUGCUUUGGUGCAAACCUCAGUGGCUCUGGGGAUUUCAUCUGAGCUUUCCUAUCAUUUCACUGGGAUCCGGGUGAGUCACACUUUCCAGCUUCCCCUCUCUGGGCCUCAGUGUCCUGUGUAAAAUGAAGGCGAUGGGCCCAGCCGGGGUGGUUCAGUCGUUGAGCGUCGACCCAUGAACCAGGAGGUCACGGUUCGAAUCCCUGUUGGUGGAGUGCAGGAGGCAGCCGAUCGGUGAUUCUCUCUCGUUAUUGAUGUUUCUCUCUCUCUCCCUUCCUCUCUCUGAAAUCAAUAAAAACAUAUUUUUAAAAAAUGAAGGCGAUGGGCUGGAGUAGAGAUUUUCAGUAUGUGGUUUCCAACCCAGUGUCAUCAGCAUCCCCUGGGACCUCGUUAGAAAUACCAAUUCUAGGGCUUUGCCCCAGACCUCUGGGGUGGGGCCCCACCUGCCAUAAGGGUUAGCGUUAGACGAGCCCCAGGGUAAGGGCCCCUCCCGCAGCAACACUUGGCUUGUGCUUUAAGGCAUUAUGACUUGGAUAGUCUUUCUUGCCCAAGGAGGCCACGCUUGAGCGUAGGAAGAGAAGCUGUUUUCUCUGACCACGAGGCCCGAGUCCAGGCGAGCCUCUCUAGAAA